ensembl:lncRNA
ACGAACUCACCUAGGCGGUCAGACCCCGGGCGCGGGGACCCGAGCGCGCGAAGCGACCUGUCGCGCCCCCUCCUCCCUGGCUGCUGGGGGAGGGCGGGCGCAGGGCCGGCGAAACUAGGGUGGGAAUGAGGCUCGCCGCCGCUCCCUUCUGCAGACCAUUGUCAGCACCACGGUCGCCGGGGCUGUCUGCACGGUAUGGGGGCGGGAGACUCUACGGAACCGAAUAGUUGCCAACGCUCUCCCGGAGCCCGGGAGGGAGAGCUGCUUUUGCAUCAGAGCCGGGGGCCGUACCAGGCUCUUCUCUGUCUUUCCCGGCGUGGCCCGUCCUGUGUGGCAGAGGACGCCGCCGAGGCGAGUGCACCUGGCCGGCCCGGAGCACAGCAACGCAGGACCUGGGCUGACAACAACGUGACGCUUGAGCGCGUCUUUUCUGCUUUGAUUCUUGCAAACACCUACUUCCACGGAGAUGAGCCCAUUGGGUUUAUGGGAUAAUCGAAAAUCAGACGGAUUAAGUCCAAGGUGCCAAUGCUAGAGUCUCCAGAUCUUUUCACCGAAACAGGGUGCUGCUUAACUGUUAAAAGAGUUUUGCAAAACCAGCCCCCAUCAAAAUAGCAUGUAUCAGAAAGAGGGAUGGAAUUUAGCUUAGAAGUUUGUGCUAAAAUGGGGACACAUCGCCCCCCAGGCCCCAUGCACACCCUCUUGCUUCUGUAACAAUAGGGUUUAACUACGUUCUGCCAGGUCCUUAGCGUGAUAAUCGUCAACCCCUAUUGUAAACAACUCACUAAUCAUCAGAGCCCUGUGUACUUAAAAAAAAAAAUGCAGGUGUCCAAUACUGAAAAAUUAAUAUAUUUAGUAAUUGCUCUUUUGCCCUUUUGUGUAUGAAGCUGAUGCUCCCGAUUCCAAGUAGGAGGGAGAGAACUUCAUGUUGAGCUGUUUUCCAGGCGUGGCUUUUUGUGGGAACCCUACUAUAGGGCUCGCAUAGACACUGGUGUAUUUAAGAUGCUACUAAAAGGGUGGGUGGAGAUCAACAUACAUAGUGUGUGUUUCUGAAAUAAUUUGCCAGUGCAACAGUGUAUUGGGGUAGGGAGGGGAACCUUUGCUUGGACAUCUUCUUCACCACGCCCAGGAUAAUCAAUCAAAUCGACAUUUCCUUUUUCUGUGGAACUCUGCCUUUUGCAUUUAAAAGGGUAAACAAACAAAAAAUCAUGAGCCUGAUUUUACAUGUUCUUCUUGAGCUGGAUGCCAGCCCGCUAAUGUGUCACUGCUCAUUUUUAUUUCUAUUCAACGGGGCUACAAAUGCAAUAUGUCCUUGGGUGCAAGAUAUACACUGGAUACUGUGAUGUCCCUUGCCAUCUUCUAACAGUGCGGCAGGGAACAAGGCACACCUCAAUUAGUAUAGUGACUUGCACAUAGUAGAUGCCUAAUAAGUAUUUGUCAGGUGAAUGGGGUCUCAACAGAAUGUAAUGAAUACAAAAGUGGCCUGUUUUCAGUUCUGCGGGAAAGCAUGAGGGAAAUCAGUUAUAGGUGACAUGGUCAGGGAAGGCAUCCUGGAGGUGGUGACGGGUGCAGGAUUUUGAUAUGAAGAAUCGGCUAAGGAAUGGAAGUAAGAAAGUCUGCUAUGUUUUUGAGAUAUGGCAGAGGUAAAAGUUCUUAACAUUUUCUAAGUAAUAGGCUCAUAUUAAAAUCUGAGAGAAGCUUCGGAACGUUCCUAUAUAAAAAAAAAAUGUAAAAAGAUUUGCAUACAUUUUCUGGGAUUUCACAAACUGGCCAAAGCAGAUCUGUGGAAUCCCUAGAGGUCUGUGGACUUGAGUUGCAAUUUUCUUGUUGGGAGGCAGAGAGAAAAAUAAAGAAAUUAUUCUAUUUGAGGCCAUCAUAAGAGACAUUUCCAUGGCCACCAACAGAAUUUGGGUAAUAACUGAGGGAAUAGAAAGAAAAGUGUGCUAUAAAGGAAAUUUGUACAAUAGAGAAGUAUGGCACUCCCUCUCUUGAAGCUAGGACAUAGCAUUUGUAUUCUUUUUGUACCUGAGAAUUUCACUUUCAUCUCUCAACAAAAAGAUAAACGAAAAUAUGACUGUUAAACACCGGCCAUUGCCAAUGCUGGGUGGGUACAUGGGGGGGGGGAUGGGCUAGUAGUGUAUUACCUCCUUAUUUGUGAUGUUGGAC